GUCACUUAUGGAUGGACCCGCGUCGCAUUAGCUAGUUGGUGCGGUAACGGCUCAUCAAGGCAACGAUGCGUAGCCGACCUGAGAGGGUGAUCGGCCACACUGGGACUGAGACACGGCCCAGACUCCUACGGGAGGCAGCAGUAGGGAAUCUUCCGCAAUGGACGAAAGUCUGACGGAGCAACGCCGCGUGAGUGAUGAAGGCUUUCGGGUCAUAAAACUCUGUUGUUAGGGAAGAACAAGUGCUAGUUGAAUAAGCUGGCACCUUGACGGUACCUAACCAGAAAGCCACGGCUAACUACGUGCCAGCAGCCGCGGUAAUACGUAGGUGGCAAGCGUUAUCCGGAAUUAUUGGGCGUAAAGCGCGCGCAGGUGGUUUCUUAUGUCUGAUGUGAAAGCCCACGGCUCAACCGUGGAGGGUCAUUGGAAACUGGGAGACUUGAGUGCAGAAGAGGAAAGUGGAAUUCCAUGUGUAGCGGUGAAAUGCGUAACGAUAUGGAGGAACACCAGUGGCGAAGGCGACUUUCUGGUCUGUAACUGACACUG
rnacentral:rRNA from 1 species